rnacentral:lncRNA from 1 species
UAGAGAACCCUGAGUGAUAUGCCCCUCGAAUGCCCCUCAAAGUCUCAGGUUUUGAGUCUGGCAGUUUUGUUGAGAAGUAGAUGGAUAAGAAGGAUACCAACCACACCAACAGACCAUUCUACUGAUGACUUCAUCAUUGAGUGUGUUUUUGGGACAUUCCUCUCUAGAAAAAGGCUCACAGAUAAGUUCAGAGGAUGGAGCUGGAGCCUUCAGCAGAUGCUGAGGGAAGGUUUGAGGCUGAUCCUGGGUGCAGAAUUGUGCCCAGUUCUUCCCACCUGAUUGUUCAUCUACUGCAAACUGGGGCUCGUUUUUCCCUUUGGAAAAAUAAUCACAUUUUGCUGCAUUGGAAAGCAUGGCUAAGAUUGAUUCCUGCAGUAAUUUAACAGAACCUGAAGCUUUAUAGACCUUCUGUCUACAGGACUUCUGACUACACAGAACGUGUCUUUAGGAUGUGCCCUUCUUUUCCCUGUUCUGAUAGAACUGACUGUGCAAACUAAGGCAGCUUUCAGAUGCUAUUCCACUCACUGGCAGUGCCAUUUGUGCCUCUGAACAGCAACAGGCUGAGGUCUUCCAAAAAACUAGGGAAGAGUGGUAGAUCCAGAGGUCUGAGCCUCUCGAUUCGAAGUAGCUGUCAGUGAAAACAGAAAAUAUUAUGUGCGCUGGUGAGAAACGGCAACCCCACGAAGUGAGAACAGAGCAGUGAUGUCAGCAGUCCUACGCUGGUUGUAGGCAGAACAAUAAGAAAAGAGUGAAGAAACGGUAAUGAUUGGAGACAGGGAGAACCCUGUGCAGCCAGACACUGCACAGAGCUCACUCGAGAAAAGCACUUGAACAGGCAAAAUCACUCAAGACGAUAACCAGCAGAGGAUCUGGAAUGUAGCGCGAUAGUCAGAGAAUGUGAAGAAGAGGAUCUGGAAUGUAGCGCGAUAGUCAGAGAAUGUGAAGAAGAGGAUCUGGAAUGUAGUGCGAUAGUCAGAGAAUGUGAAGAAGAGACAGACCCUCUUUGCAAAACUCCAAGAACACUGGGAUAAACCUGUCAAGAUUUUUCAAUUUGGUAAGGUUUUUAAAGUAUGUCCUGUAGAGUCUUGCUACGUAGCUUUGGCUGUAAGGACAACUUGG